rnacentral:rRNA from 1 species
GGAAUAUUGGUCAAUGGCCGAGAGGCUGAACCAGCCAUGCCGCGUGCGGGAGGACGGCCCUAUGGGUUGUAAACCGCUUUUGUCGGGGAGCAAUAAGUCUUACGUGUAAGAUGAUGAGAGUACCUGGCGAAUAAGCAUCCGCUAACUCCGUGCCAGCAGCCGCGGUAAUACGGAGGAUGCAAGCGUUAUCCGGAUUUAUUGGGUUUAAAGGGUGCGUAGGCGGGAUUUUAAGCGUGAGGUGAAAUGCCACGGCUCAACCGUGGAACUGCCUCGCGAACUGGGAUUCUUGAAUGCCCCUGCCGUGGGAGGAAUGUGUGGUGUAGCGGUGAAAUGCAUAGAGAUCACACAGAACACCGAUUGCGAAGGCAUCUCACGAAGGGGUGAUUGACGCUGAGGCACGAAAGCGUGGGGAUCAAACA